rnacentral:rRNA from 1 species
CGAUGCGGGACCCUACGGGUGCCGCGUUCGGAAUGAGUACGAUUCGAACCACCUAACGAGGAACGAUCGGAGGGCAAGUCUGGUGCCAGCAGCCGCGGUAAUUCCAGCUCCAAUAGCGUACGUUAAAGUUGCUGCAGUUAAAAAGCUCGUAGUUGAACGUUCGGGUUCCGCGGGACGGGGCCGCCCCGCGAGGGACGGCGCCGCCCCGGGGCUCGUGAUAUCUCAUCUCGCCGCCCGUCGCGAGGCGGACGGAGGGAUGGAUGAGGUUACCUGGAAAAAAUCGGGGCGAUCUAGGCGGGCGAACCUCGCCAACGAACGAUCGGACAUGGGAUAACGGAAGAGGGCGUCGGCUCGACUUCGUCGGUUCCUCGGGCCGAGGCACGUACGGUGAAUAGGGACGGUCGGGGCCGCCCGUACCGGGUCGUGAGAGGUGAAAUUCUAGGAUCGACCCGAGACGAACCGCCGCGAAAGCAUUCGGCAAG